rnacentral:rRNA from 1 species
AUUGAACGCUGGCGGAAUGCUUUACACAUGCAAGUCGAACGGCAGCACGGGGCAACCUGGUGGCGAGUGGCGAACGGGUGAGUAAUGCAUCGGAACGUGCCAUUGAGUGGGGGAUAACGUAGCGAAAGUUGCGCUAAUACCGCAUAUUCUGUGAGCAGGAAAGCAGGGGACCGCAAGGCCUUGCGCUCUUUGAGCGGCCGAUGUCAGAUUAGCUAGUUGGUAGGGUAAAGGCCUACCAAGGCGACGAUCGGUAGCUGGUCUGAGAGGAUGAUCAGCCACACUGGGACUGAGACACGGCCCAGACUCCUACGGGAGGCAGCAGUGGGGAAUAUUGGACAAUGGGCGCAAGCCUGAUCCAGCAAUGCCGCGUGUGUGAAGAAGGCCUGCGGGUUGUAAAGCACUUUUGUUCGGGAAGAAAUCAUGCUGGUUAAUACCUGGUAUGGAUGACGGUACCGAAAGAAUAAGCACCGGCUAACUUCG